GCCAGACUCCUACGGGAGGCAGCAGUGGGGAAUAUUGCACAAUGGGGGAAACCCUGAUGCAGCGACGCCGCGUGAGCGAAGAAGUAUUUCGGUAUGUAAAGCUCUCUCAGCAGGGAAGAAAAAAAUGACGGUACCUGAGUAAGAAGCACCGGCUAAAUACGUGCCAGCAGCCGCGGUAAUACGUAUGGUGCAAGCGUUAUCCGGAUUUACUGGGGGUAAAGGGAGCGUAGGCGGCGCGUUAAGUCUGAUGUGAAAACCCGAGGCUCAACCACGGGAGUGCAUUGGAAGCUGGCGGGCUGGAGUGCCGGAGAGGUAAGCGGAAUUCCUAGUGUAGCGGUGAAAUGCGUAGAUAUUAGGAGGAACACCAGUGGCGAAGGCGGCUUACUGGACGGCAACUGACGCUGAGGCUCGAAAGCGUGGGGAGCAAACAGGAUUAGAUACCCCAGUAGCA
rnacentral:rRNA from 1 species